GUGUGUGUGUGUGAAUUCUUUUCUUUAUCUGAGAAUUGGCUUUCUAGGUGAGGAAAUUUCAUGAGAGACUCCUUGUGACAUGUGACAAGAGGUUGGGAGUGACUUGGGUUAAGGUCAUUUUCCAAGUGUUUCACACCAAGUCUUUGUUUAACGGGAUAGCAGUGGUCUUAAAGAACUGAACUAAGUGGUUGAAAUAGAGGUUUCAGUUACUGAAAUGUGAAGAGACUCUGGGAUGUGUGUUCUUCCUAGCCUGUGGUCACAGGCACUCAUAAACUCAUAGGAUUUGAACUGUGUCUUCCUAAUGUCUUUUGCUUUCUGCCCUUGUAUGUAGUGGAGGCCCCAGUUCCGGUGACUAAAGUUCCUAAGUAACAGUUUUCUGAGCAAAGAGGCUCUCUAGAAAAGAGCAGUGCCUGGGAACGUGAUCUAAAAAUUUAAUAUAGCCUGUGAUGUAAUUUUUGUUAGCUUCACCCAAGAUAUGAUCAUUCAAAGAUCUAGAGAGAUGCACCUGCUUCGGUAUCUACCAUUGGAUUUUUCAAAUGAACAUACAGUAAGAUUGGAUCGGUUUUCUUUCUUAUUAUUUAUUUAUUUAUUGGUGGCUGCACUGAGUCUUUGUUGCUGCACGAGGCUUUCUCUAGUUGUGGAGAAGGAGGACUACUCUCUAGUGGCGGUGCAUGCACUUCUCAUUUCAGAGAGUUUUCUUGUUGAGGAGCAUGGACUCUCGGCUUGAGGGCUUCAGUAGUCGAAGCAGGGUAUGCUAUUUUCUGUUCUCCAAACCAAAGAGACCAGGAUGCCAGUUCCAAAGGAAUCAUCAGGACUGUUGACUAGAAGACAGAAUGGAGAAUUGGAAUGAUCUUCACAGGUGAUGCAGAGCCCUCCCUUGGAUCUCACCUGCAGCAAAGCAAGCACCAAGAUCAGUUCCAGAAAACGAUAUUCCUAAACGACAGCCACCCAUCUGCCCAAAGACAACAUUGGGUCAUUGUGCAGUGUGCCCUCUGCCCAGAACCAGCCAAUCGGGGCGCAGCGCCGGCCACCAAGGAUUUCUGAGACUCCCUGAGUUCCUGCCCGUGUUUCCGUGGAUCCGCGUGUCGCUCGAUACCAAGGUCAACAGGUGGAUUUACCGGGCCACUUCGAGAGGUUGCCUUCCUUUCUCUCGCUCUCAUGGGGAUCCCUCUUAACUUCUGCAUCCACGAUGUCCAGUCCUCUCUGCUAAAACCCAACAAAAAUGUUGGCUUUUCUUCCGGGCUUGUGGCGUUUUGGUUUCUGUGGCCGCCAGGUGGCAGUGUUGCUCCAAGUGUCACCAUCCCCUGUCUCCCCCGCCCUUUGCGAUUGAAAAAAAUGACACGAAACCUUUUUCUAAAAUAAACCACAGAUAGUUUUCUC